UACAGAGGGGGCAAGCGUUGUUCGGAAUUACUUGGCGUAAAGGGCGCGUAGGCGGCCUGCUAAGUCGAACGUGAAAUCCCCGGGCUCAACCCGGGAACUGCGUCCGAUACUGGCAGGCUUGAAUCCGGGAGAGGGAUGCGGAAUUCCAGGUGUAGCGGUGAAAUGCGUAGAUAUCUGGAGGAACACCGGUGGCGAAGGCGGCAUCCUGGACCGGCAUUGACGCUGAGGCGCGAAAGCCAGGGGAGCAAACGGG
rnacentral:rRNA from 1 species